AUGCAAACUUGACAACGACUAAUACGCGUCCUCAAGUCUCCAGCUUUCAGUGUCUCUGACUGAGGUUUACUGGUUGACAGACACAAAGGUGACAGAUGCUCAGUCUUGUCCAGUGUCUCAGUAUACACAAGCUGAGGCCUGUGACUGGUUAGUCCUACUCACAAUGGGGUUUGGACUACAUAACCAUUUCACUGACAAUAUUCAACAUCACAGGGCCUGGAGCUUGGCAAAUAUGCAGAAUUAGUUGGUGCAGGAACAAAAUGCAACAUGGAAUGGGAAGAUGAAAACGGCAUGAUGGUGCACUGAGUCCAUGGGAGCCACAUGACACAA